CGCAUUCCGGCGAGUUCGUGCACGCCGUUAGCUUGAGAGUUUCCUGCGUUUUCUGUGUUCUUUGUGUGCUUCGCUGUGACAUCUUUGGAAUAUUCCUGCGUGUUGCUCGCUUUUUAUGGACUUGUUGCCUCGAAGAUCGCCAUGAUCGCCUCCGACUCAGCGACAUCAAGGAUUCAAAAUGAGCUGGGAGAGGCCCCAGCUGGAACGGUUCACAUAGGUUGAAGGAGUGCACAUUGAGAAGGUUAUCCUGGCACAGUUUACCAUGGCCUGCCAUGGUAGACCAGGAAAGUUUGCAAGGGCCUUGCUUCACCAUGUGUUCACAGAGAAGGAGCUCAUGGGCCAUUUGGGCUUUGGAAAUAACACCAAGGGGCAAAAAAGGCUCUUGACCCCACCA
rnacentral:lncRNA from 1 species